AUACGGAGGAUCCGAGCGUUAUCCGGAUUUAUUGGGUUUAAAGGGUGCGCAGGCGGGAGAUUAAGUCGGCGGUGAAAUUUUGCAGCUCAACUGUAAAAGUGCCUUCGAAACUGGUUUCCUUGAGUGGAGAUGAAGUAGGCGGAAUUUGUGGUGUAGAGGUGAAAUGCAUAGAUAUCACGAGGAACUCCGAUUGCGCAGGCAGCUUACUAAACUACUUCUGACGCUCAGGCACGAAGGCGUGGGGAUCAAACAGGAUUAGAUACCCUGGUAGUCCACGCAGUAAACGAUGAUUACUAGCUGUUUGCGAUACAAUGUAAGCGGCUGAGCGAAAGCGUUAAGUAAUCCACCUGGGGAGUACGUUCGCAAGAAUGAAACUCAAAUGAAUUGACGGGG
rnacentral:rRNA from 1 species